GAAAGCAAAAGAAGCCGCCACGUAGGAAUGAAGAAAAAAACAACACCAAUUGCCAAUUGCCAAUUGCCCUCCGUCUGUCUGCCUGUCUCUGUUGCUUUGUCUAGGAGGUCGUGCGGUGUAACAAAACAACCCCACUCUCACCCCCUUCUUCCCCGAUUCUUCAAUCCCCAUUUUCCUUAAACCUCGAAUCCCCUUCUACCCUUUUCAUUUCCUUUCCCUCUGUCAUAUUUUAGGGUUCAAAAUGUUCUCCUCUCUUUUCCAACCUCAACUCCUAUCCAAUCAUGCCGUUUCCUCCACUUCUUUGGACUUUAUUAAGCGCCGCUUCAUACCCCCAAGGUUGAGACACGGAAGCCAUAGUUGGUGUAAAGAUUGAUGCAGUUUGUUGAGUGAUUGGAAGGCAGAGUUAGGGGAUUUUGUGUAUGGUUUAAUAUUUCAGGUUUGGCAGAGGGAAUGAAGCCAUUGGUCCGCUGAGCAUAGUGAUGUAUGUAAUAACAUUGAUAUUUUUGUAAAUUGAUCUGAUUUCUUCAUUUCAAUUUCAAUUUCCAUAUCUUCUUAAUCUUUUCA